GUCCCAUCAUGGUUAUAAAAUAACUUAUUUCAUGGUUCAUUUAUAUGUUGAUUGCUAACCUGUGUCCAAACUUGCAGGGGAAAUCUGGUGAGAAGGGGGAACCUGGCCUGACAAGAGAGGACGUCAUCAAAAUGAUCAGGGACAUUUGUGGCUGUGGUCUGAAGUGCAGAGAGAGUCCUCUAGAGCUGGCGUUUGUGAUUGACAGCUCAGAGAGCGUUGGACCGGAGAACUUUGAGAUGGUCAAGGACUUUGUGAACGCUCUGAUUGACCGUGUGUCUGUGAACUGUGAGGCCAGCGGGAUCAGUGUGAUCCUCUACAGUUAUUUAGACAUGGUGGUGGUCAAUGUGAAGCAGCAGUCCAGCCAGAACGAUGUUAAGGUCAGUAGUAUUGAAGCAGAUGAGUACCUGUUACAGACUGGGUUCAAAUCCAGCGUUUCCUGCAUGCCACAACUGUGUUAGCCUUCUGAGCUAAUGUCUAGACAUUCUUGAAGCAGACCUGUGUUCAUUCUGCUGUAUCCUUUUUCUGUCUGAUGUUAAUUACACUCACACAUUCAUCCACUGUCUGUCUGUCUGUCUGUGUAAUUUCUCUGACUGCUGUGAGGAAGAUGCUAUACCUGGGCGAGGGCACCUUUAUGGGUAGUGCCAUCUUGAGAGCCAACCAGCUGUUCCAGGCCUCGCGGCCCGGUGUUGAUAAAGUCGCCGUGGUACUAGCCGAUGGGCAGGCAGACCGGCGUGAUGCAGUGCAGUCUGAGGACGCUGCCGGCAUUGAGAUGUUUGUCAUCAGAGUGGUAAAUAAGAAAGACCCGCUGUACGCAGAAUUCCAGGCUGAGAUGAUUGCUAUCACCUCUGGCCCAGAUAACGAGCACGUGUACCUGAUCGACUACUUCAUGACGCUGCCCAGUAUGUGGUUCUAGAUCAAGUUCAAGACUCUAGAUCAAGUUCAAGACCAGAUGCUAGACUGCCUAGUAUAUGGUUCUAGUUGAGUUUUAUUUACACUGACACUCAUAGCAGUCAAUAGCAGUCAAUACAACAUGGAAUCCAUGCAAAUAACAUAGGCCUAUCUAAAUACAUUGAUAAAAUAACUACCAGAACUCAGGAUAAGACCCAGAUGCAGACAGCUAGAAUCACAGAUGUUUAUUGACCCAAACAGGGGGCAGGCAAAAGACAGGUCUAGGGCAGGCAGAGGUUUGUAAUCGGGUCAGAGUCAGGCAGGUACAGAACGGCAGGCAGGCCCGGGGUCAGGGCAGGCAGAAUGGUCAGAACCGGGGAAACUAGUUAACAGAAACUUGAGAAAACAGGAAGACGGGAAAACAUGCUGGCAAGACAAACUGGAAACAGACAGAGAACACAGGUAUAAAUGCACAGGGGAUAAUGGGGAGGAUGGGCAAGACCUAGAGGGGGGUGGAGACAAGCACAAAGACAGGUGAAACCAAUCAGAGUGUGGCAGGCAAGGGACCUAUUCUAACAACACAAAUGAAGAGCCCCUAAGGGGUUUGUGAUGGGGAUGUCUUGAUUUCUGUAGAUCAGCAUGGAACAGGGCCAAAAUUGCUUUGACAAUAACUCGAUGAUGUUAAAAACCUUUAUAUAACCCUUUGGUUAUGAAGUCUGUGAGAGAGCAGCGAUUAUUUAAAAUGUAAGUAUUUGAGUUUAAACAGUGUGAAAAUGCAUUGCAUGUAAAGCAGUCACCAUAGUUACAGUAUUAAACUAUUUAAACGCUAUAGAUAAUGUCAUCACAUCCCAACUAUUCUCACUGCGUGGCCUGUUUAAAGUUACAUUUGGGAAAAAGUUUUAUUUUGACACUCCCUGGAUGACUAUUUAAUCAUUUGAUAGCUUGAAAUUAGCUUGAGGUUGAUGACAGUCUGUGUUAAACUGUGUAUCUUGACACAGCCCUGGAGAGUACGCUGCUGUUUAUCUUAUCUGUACAUGGAUUUCUUCACACAUUCCAUACACCCACUAUAAAUGUUUUGUCUAUGGUAGGCUCAGAUCUGUUUCCUUGUUCAGAUUACAUCAUAAUGUUACAAAACCAGUUCUCGCAAGAAACAGACAGUUGUGCUUUAUUGAAAGAGAGUUGGGCCGUGUGCAAAGCCUGCACAUUUCCCAAUGUUGAUGUCAGAGGGAUGCACUGAGGACAUGGGCUCCUAUCUAUCUAUGGCUGCAUCCCAACUCUCCCAAGGAUGUGGAGUGUGUAAGUGCAUACUUUGGGAUAAGGGUGGAGAAUCGGGACACAGCCUCUCUAUCAACAAAAAUAAAACUACCGUGACACCUUGCAGACCCAGGUGCUGGAGUCUGCUAGGGACCGUUUGAAGAAGGUGGAGUUUGGAGCAGAGCUGUCGGAGGGGGAUCUCAAACUGUUCCAGGACGAGCAGGUGGGACAGCUGUAUGAGCUGAUGCUGGAGUCCACCAAGCCCAACAGACAGUUCGACAUCCAGGAGGAAGGAUUGAAGAAGUGAAGGAGUAGACGGGAUGCUCCCAUACUGACCAGAGAGGGAGGUGGUGCAUCUCAAUAGUUUAAAGUGUCUCUUUCCUUGUCUCCUCUCCUUUGUUUUUCUUCAUUGAACCUGUAUUUUUACAGGACAGGUUAGUCUCAUUUAGUCACUUAUUCAAGCGAGACGUUUCAUUUCACACAGUGGACACCCCACAGAUAUGUCCAAUUCAUCAGUGCAGAUGAAGAAAGGCGACGAGGGAGAAAGACACUUUAGACCAGGGUUCGGCAACAGGCAAGCCGCGGGGCAAAACCAUCCCGCAAGUGAUUUUGUUUGGCCCGCCAAAGUUUAGUGAAAAAAGACUAGCAUCGAAUUCAGCUAAAAAUUUAAAUCAGGAAAAAAAAAUCCCAAGUAUUCCCAGAAAUGUAGAGAGAGACAUAUGUGAUGGGGUCUCAAUGUAAUCAAGGUAUGAAAUUAUUGUUUUUAUCAAAUACAGUCUGUUUUUGGGCUUGCUUCUGGUCAAUUUGCAGUGUGCAAAUGACAGAAAUUGGCCUGCGGUUGAAUCUAGUUGUCCCCCUGCUUUAGACUAGUGCGCUGGAGCCAGGGAGAAGAGUAAGAGAUGUGUGACUUAGACUUGCCGCAAAAUCUGAGGUACUCUGACUGGUACACCUCCGAAGAAACUAACUGCACUCAAGCCCCGAAUGAAAUGGAUGCUUUUAGGAAAUGUUGUAAUUAUAUUAAAGUACUGUCUGUGAAAUAAAAAUACCACUGCAUGCUCA